CCGACAGUCCUGAAGACUGAUGUUCUUUAUUAAUCCACAGGACAGAUGGAGCAUAGGAAUCAGCAAUGCAAGUUUCCCCAUACUGUUCUUCCAAAAUACCUCAAUAAAUGUCCUACAACAUAGUUAGUACUUGACCUCUAUGCAGAGACUGCCAAAAAUAGAGCCAAUUACUGUCAAUUAUGUUGGUUGU
rnacentral:sRNA from 1 species